rnacentral:rRNA from 1 species
UACGUAGGGGGCGAGCGUUGUCCGGAGUUACUGGGCGUAAAGCGUGCGCAGGCGGUUUUGCAAGCCGGAUGUGAAAUCCCCGGGCUCAACCUGGGAAUGGCAUUCGGGACUGCAAGGCUGGAGUGCGGGAGAGGAGACUGGAAUUCCUGGUGUAGCAGUGAAAUGCGUAGAUAUCAGGAGGAAUACCGAUGGCGAAGGCAGGUCUCUGGGCUGACACUGACGCUCAUGCACGAAAGCGUGGGGAGCAAACAGG